CCUACGGGAGGCAGCAGUGGGGAAUAUUGCACAAUGGGGGAAACCCUGAUGCAGCGACGCCGCGUGAGUGAAGAAGUAUUUCGUUAUGUAAAGCUCUAUCAGCAGGGAAGAAAAUGACGGUACCUUAGCAAGAAGGCCCGGCUAACUACGUGCCAGCAGCCGCGGUAAUAAGUAGGGGGCAAGCGUUAUCCGGAUUUACUGGGUGUAAAGGGAGCGUAGACGGCAGUGCAAGUCUGGAGUGAAAGGCGGGGGCUCAACCCCUGGACUGCUCUGGAAACUGUACGGCUAGAGUGCAGGAGAGGUAAGUGGAAUUCCUAGUGUAGCGGUGAAAUGCGUAGAUAUUAGGAGGAACACCAGUGGCGAAGGCGGCUUACUGGACAGUAACUGACGUUGAGGCUCGAAAGCGUGGGGAGCAAACAGGAUUAGAUACCCCAGUAGUC
rnacentral:rRNA from 1 species